CUGAUGCAGCAACGCCGCGUGAGGUAUGAAGGCCUUUGGGUGUGUGAAGCCUCUGUCCUAGGGGAAGAAAAAAAUGACGGUACCCGAGGAGGAAGCCCCGGCUAACUACGUGCCAGCAGCCGCGGUAAUACGUAGGGGGCAAGCGUUAUCCGGAAUUAUUGGGCGUAAAGAGUGCGUAGGUGGUCUACUAAGCGCGAGGUGAAAGGCAAUGGCUCAACCAUUGUUAGCCUUGCGAACUGGCAGACUUGAGUGCAAGAGAGGAAAGCGGAAUUCCUAGUGUAGCGGUGAAAUGCGCAGAUAUUAGGAGGAACACCGGCGGCGAAGGCGGCUUUCUGGAUUGUAACUGACACUGAGGCACGAAAGCGUGGGUAGCAAACAGGAUCAGAUACCCUGGUAGUCCACGCCGUAAACGAUGAGCACUAGGUGUCGGGACAUGAGUCUCGGUGCCGCAGUUAACGCCAUAAGUGCUCGCCUGGGGAGUACGCACGCAGUGUAAACUCAAGGAAUUGACGGG
rnacentral:rRNA from 1 species